GAUGAACGCUGGCGGUGUGCUUAACACAUGCAAGUCGAACGAAGCAUUUAGAACAGAUUAUUUCGGUAUGAAGUUCUUUAUGACUGAGUGGCGGACGGGUGAGUAACGCGUGGGUAACCUGCCUUGUACCGGGGGAUAGCAGCUGGAAACGGCUGGUAAUACCGCAUAAGCGCACAAUGUUGCAUGACAUGGUGUGAAAAACUCCGGUGGUAUAAGAUGGACCCGCGUCUGAUUAGCUAGUUGGUGAGAUAACAGCCCACCAAGGCGACGAUCAGUAGCCGACCUGGUAGGGUGACCGGCCACAUUGGGACUGAGACACGGCCCAGACUCCUACGGGAGGCAGCAGUGGGGAAUAUUGCACAAUGGAGGAAACUCUGAUGCAGCGACGCCGCGUGAGUGAAGAAGUAAUUCGUUAUGUAAAGCUCUAUCAGCAGGGAAGAUAGUGACGGUACCUGACUAAGAAGCUCCGGCUAAAUACGUGCCAGCAGCCGCAGUAA
rnacentral:rRNA from 1 species